rnacentral:lncRNA from 1 species
GUCUCCCACCAUCUGGUUAUCUCUAGUGCUACCUGCCUUUGGUUAUGUCUGACUGGAGCCUGUCCUUCCUGUGAUCCUUGUUGUGUCAGAACUCCUCAGAGUCCAGGUGUCUUUGUGAUCCUGUGAUUCUGGAAUCCUGUGAUCCGGAGAUCCUGGGUGUGUCAGAGCUCCUGAAAAUCAAGCUGCCUCCAUGCCUCUGAGAUCCUGGUGUGACCAAGCUCCUGGGAUCUGGGAUCCUGUGAUCAUGUGGACCUGGGUUAAUAAAAUCCCAUUCUGAUUGUGUUGGUUAAAGAAUUGUGACUUGGAUCAGCUGACCAUUCUUCAGUGACUGGUUCCUGAAUGCCGAACCUGAGAAUGGACUAGGGGUCCUGAGACUAGAGCAGGGGAUGAGGAGACACAGAAGACAGAAGGCAGAGAAGAGAAAGCUGAGGGAUGGAGGUCUUGCACAAACUUUGUGGAAUGCCAAGCAAGGUUACUAAGCAGAGCACCUUCUGUACUAUCUUAAAGGGGAUCAAUGGGUGAAGCUGGCAGAAACUAUCCUACAAUGAGACGAAGUGUGUGGGAGGCCAAUCAAGCGAUGCUAAACAAGGGGACACAUGCUGUCUCAAGAGCAUGACAAACUGAACAUGAACAUACAGCUAGCUGUCUCCCAGGCCCCUCAGGGAGGAAAGCCUGCACAAGGUCUCAGAACUUGGUUGGUUCCCUUUGUCUGAGAAAGUCUUGAUUGGUCCAGCUCUCAACAGAAUUGUAAACCGUGAUAUCAUCCUAGUUGCUCUUCAGCGACACAAAGGUAGAAAGCCAAGUUUCACUUUAUACAUUGUCUUGUUAACAUAGGGAGUCUUGACAUAUUUUUUCUCUUUACAGCUUGUUUUUAAAAUUUGAAAAAAAAUAUUGUAGAAAAUUCAUUUGCAUUGCUUUUCUUUUGCGUUGUAGUAAAGAGCACUUCUGGUAUGCACACAUUUUUGUAAAAAAGUAGUUUCAUGGAUUUGUGUGCCAAGUUAGUAGUGCACACUCACGUGCUUGCUCUCGAACACACCUGUCCACACACAGUUUUAUCAAUGUUCAUCACUUUGAUAAUGUUUCAAGCUAGGAACAGCAGCAGAAGCAACAACAGCAACAGCAGCAGCAGCAGCAGCAGCAGCAACAACAACAACAACAACAGGCUAACAAAAAUAGUAUAAAUAGCUGACUGUCUAGCCUCAACAUUACCAGCAAAUGAUCACCUGUUUUAAAACUGUGCCCUUUAAUAUCAGGCGCUGAAGCAAAAUUCAAACGGCCUACGAUGCAUGAAUCUGUAAAACUCAGAAUAUAUUCUAAAGACCAAGGACUGCUUUAGAGGCAUCAUGCACCAAAUUGACAACCAUUUCUUAAUCAAUAAAUACCUAUUUCACACCCAAAUUC